UCCAAGUGGGACAAAGCAUGCAUCACAUCAGACUUAAAUACAGAUGUUGAAAUGCAGAAGAAUCCAGUUAGAGAAUACCAAGACAGCUCAGAGAGUCAUCAUCAUCAUCACUAUCUGAGGAGGAGGAUGAUCCUGAACACCUAAGAAGACCUCCCCCUUUACCUUUGAAAAUUGCAAGACCAAGAGAAGAGCCAACUUACACUGAACUCUCAACAGUAACUUGCCUCAGUGAUAUGGAGGCUUAAGGACCACUGCACCACACUGAUCAACAGCAAACCUGCCUGACUGAAAUCCCUCGGCGUCCCCAAACCUGCCUGACUGACUGAAAGCCCCCGGCGUCCCCAAACCUGCCUUCCUCAAACCCACCAGUUGAUUCCAGCUACCU